rnacentral:sRNA from 1 species
UGAGUAUUUCCAACGCUAUGCUGACAGAUUUGAUUUACUGAAGUUUAUCAAGUUUAACCACGAAGUCAUCUCAGUUACCCAACAUCCCUCUCAGGACCGUGCCAGCCAGCAGGAUAGUUGCAGUGUGGGGAAAGACACUGCCGAAGAAGCUGACAGCCCUAUCAAAGAAUCACGCCAUGAGAGGGACACACCGAGAACCUGGAAACUCACUGUGUCGGACUCACUGACCAAACUGACCAGCGACCAUUCUUUUGAUUUUGUUUUGAUAUGUACUGGUCAUCACGCUGAACCAAAUGUACCUUACUUCCCAGGUCAGGGCAUAUUCGAAGGUAAAAUUAUUCACUCGCGUGAUUUCAGAAAAGCUAGUGACGUCACUGGCUCACGCCAUCUGGUGGUUGGAAUUGGAAAUUCAGGAUGUGACAUUGCUGUGGAACUCAGUCG